UUCAUACUUGUCAGCUGAAAAUUACACGAUCCUCAUCCAUCCAAACCACCCCAUUUUUCUUUUAUAAUCUACACCAUUCUUCACCCAAACCUCACCACUUCACCAUUUCUAAAUUCUGCAGUCUCAAUUUCACACAGCAAGUUAAGAAAUAAAUAUCUUCCACCACACCUAUUCAAGGUUGAGCGGGUGAUGGAAUGGAGUGGAGUUGAGCGGAUGUACCUUUUGACAUAGAACAAUAAUGAAACCUUGAGUAUACAUCUUCAUAUGUAUAACUCACACGUAUUUCCGCUGCAAGAUACUCUGAUUAUGCUAAUGUUUUAUUUUAAGUAUAAUACUCUUUUGUUGGGUAAUCCACUUCGACGGGCCUUCCCGAACAAACGUCUUGUAUUUGCCCAAGUGAUCAGUUAUGAUCCUAGUGUUAUAUAAUAAAUGUCUCUUUUC